rnacentral:rRNA from 1 species
UACGUAGGGGGCUAGCGUUGUCCGGAAUCAUUGGGCGUAAAGCGCGUGUAGGCGGUCCGGUAAGUCCGCUGUGAAAGUCGGGGGCUCAACCCUCGAAUGCCGGUGGAUACUGUCGGGCUAGAGUGCGGAAGAGGCGAGUGGAAUUCCUGGUGUAGCGGUGAAAUGCGCAGAUAUCAGGAGGAACACCGAUGGCGAAGGCAGGUCUCUGGGCCACUACUGACGCUGAGAAGCGAAAGCAUGGGGAGCGAACAGG